rnacentral:rRNA from 1 species
UACGGGGGGGGCAAGCGUUGUUCGGAAUUACUGGGCGUAAAGGGCUCGUAGGCGGCCAACUAAGUCAGACGUGAAAGCCCCGGCUCAACUGGGGAGGGUCAUUCGAUACUGAUCGACUCGAAGGCAGGAGAGGGAAGCGGAAUUCCCGGUGUAGUGGUGAAAUGCGUAGAUAUCGGGAGGAACAUCAGUGGCGAAGGCGGCUUCCUGGCCUGUUCUUGACGCUGAGGCGCGAAAGCUAGGGGAGCAAACGGG